rnacentral:lncRNA from 1 species
ACAUUGAUGGAUAGCCACAUGGAUCCAGAAAAUAAAGACUUCUACUGUGCAUAUUGACUAAAGCAAAAGAUAUGCAAGGAAGCUCAGUCUCUCAGUUGAGUGGAUUCUGAAAUUUAUCCUGUUGUCUUCAGCUACUAAGGCUAAUUUGCAAAUCACACUGUGCACGGAGGGAGUCUUGCUCUGUUGCCCAGGCUGGAGUACAGUGGCGCGAUCUCAGCUCACUGCAACCUCACCUCCCUGGUUCAAGCGAUUCCUCUGCCUUAGCCUCCCGAGUAGCUGGGACUACAGACGCGUGCCACUAUGCCUGGCUAAUUUUUUUUGUAUUUUAGUAGAGACAGGGUUUCACCGUGUUGGCCAGGAUGGCCUCGAUUUCCUGACCUUGUGAUCCGCCUGCCUCGGCCUCCCAAAGUGCUGGGAUUACAGUCAUGAGCCACCGCGCCCGGCC